GUCUUUUUGAUUUUAAAUAAAAAGUCUGACCUGCCCAAUGUAGUAUGAAUGGCCGCGGUAUUAUGACCGUGCGAAGGUAGCAUAAUCAAUAGUCCAUUAAAUGUGGUCUGGAAUGAAUGGUUUGACGGAGAUUUUCUUUCUUGAGCUGAUUGGUGAAUUUUAAUUGUUAGUGAGAAUGCUAACAUGUUGCAGGGGGACGAGAAGACCCUAUAGAGCUUUAUAUACAUGCUGACUAUGGUGGAAAUGGGGUUAGUAGGUAUAUUUUGUUGGGGCGACAAUAAGUUUAAACAUUUAUUUUAAGGGCUAUUAUUAUAGGUGGAUGAUCCAUUAUUAGUGAUUGAAAGACUAAGUUACCUUAGGGAUAACAGCGUAAUUUUAUUUUAGAGUUCUUAUCGACAAUAAAGUUUGCGACCUCGAUGUUGGAUUAGAAUUCCUUUUAGGUGUAGCUGCUUAUUAAGGCAGUCUGUUCGACUGUUAAAUUUCUACA
rnacentral:rRNA from 1 species